UGAUGUGAGCAAACUUUACUUUUAUACAAUAUUAUAUAUUCUCGCUUAUACAUGUGGGAAUAUGAAUUUUAAAUCGAUAUUAAUCUUUUUCCGUGUAGUUAAUAUAUUUUGUGUCUCCCUUCCUGAGCCUUAAUAAACGUAGCGUCCCGACAUCUCGACACCAGAUACGCGGUUGACGGCCGCUCGCGAUUUACAAGCAACAUUAUACCGGGUGAUAAGGCAAAUACCACGGCGCAGCCAAGAGGUGUGUUGCGGGGGUAGCAAAAGACCGAGUGCCGCUUUGAUUCCGCGGUAUUUAUGUUGGCUGAGCUCUCUUUCGGUCGGCCGAACGGAGGUGAGUGGCGCAUGCCUCAGGAGGCGACGGCGUUUCCCGAAGGAAGCGGAGAUCCCGGGGAAUCCGGGGGCUGCCGGUAGUCGGGGCACGUCUCGCAGGAUAGAGAAGAGGAACGGACCGUGCGCCACGGCGGCGUGUGCGCUCGUGUGGACACGCGUCCUCGUCGUGCGCACGUGGACCGAAAUCAACGACAAUAGAGAAACGCGCGGCAUUCACGUCGGGGACGAGCGGAUAAGCAGCCAUACUAACGAGGCGAUGCGCGCGCGGAGAGAGAUCACGUCCGGCGGCCCGAAGAAGAAGGACCGCGCGCGCGCACACUCCGGGGGGUUGGCGUGCGAGAUACAGGGAAGGAGAGAACCGCCGGCGCCGCGAUUCGCCUUCUCGAUAAACUCUUCAACUUCCUCCCGCCGCUUUUCUUCUUUGUCCCCCGUUCGCUCGUCGCCGCCGCCGCCGCCUCCUCCUCCUCCUCAUCAACAUCGGCGAUAUCGGGGUGCACCGAGCUGGAUUACACAGCGACGGAGCUACGUGCGCCGUUCUGAGAGGUCCUUUUUUUCCGAAUUUCGCAGCUGAAAUUUGCUGAGAUUUAGCGGGAUCUCGAAGAAAGACCAGGAUUGCUAACCUUUUCGUAAUAUAAGGCGGUGAUCUUUCGAGGCUCCGAAGAAUACAAUCUUGCGAAGAUUAAUGUCGACGCACACUUUGCCCAACGUGUUGGCCCUUGACGAGAUGUGCGACGAUGUACUUGAACGCACUGUUGUGAAAAAAAGAGAGACCCGCCUUCGGAGGUCGCUUCGUGAUAACUCAUCUUCGACACUUCGCCGAGGAGCCGCGUUCGACGGAGACGUCAAGGAUGCGGAACAGCCGAUUCGGAACCGCUAUCGAAUUCUUGGCUCAUGAAGGACCCGUGCAGUCCAAGAUCUCGGAGAGCCCAGAAUCUCAACGGUCCCGUUCCAAGCUUUCGCCACGAUCUCGCGGAGCAGCAUCGUACUCCAAAUUGGUACGAAGUGAUCUAUGGAAGGUCGUACCGCUCGCGCCUCAACCGUUUCGGAUUCCUCGGACGUUCGGGAUCACGUUGACUAUGCAAUUUUGCGGUCUCAUACCGGAGAAAGCGCGGGAACCGGAAGCACUCGUCGAAGCACACCACCCCCCUGGAUAUUCGUAUAUAUUUCACACAAGGAUUCCACCGCGUAAUAUCGGCUCGUCGCACCGAUGAAACGGCGAUUCGUUCUGCAAUUUUCUCCCGGCGAUUGUCUUCCGCAUACGAGGCAUAAGAUUAUCUCACGAUCUCGUUUCACAUGUCAAUAUUUUGAGUCAACCACUUGUAUUAGGUACUCAGGAAAGUUUCUGCCUCAAUUGCGUGUCACUGUUGCGUGCGUAUCACGACGGAAUCUCUGAUUUGUAGUUGCGCGUUUCUCAUUUUUCAAUUUUAAUAUUUGCACCUUGCCA